rnacentral:RNase_P_RNA from 1 species
GGAGGGGGUCGGACGGUCGAUCGGGUUUCGGCCCGGUAGGAAAGUCCGGACUCCGCAGGGCAGGACGGCCGCCAACCGCGGCCCCGCGCAAUCGGGGGAAAGUGCCACAGAAAACCAGACGGCCGUGAGCGCUUCGGCGUUCGCGGUCAGGGUGAAAAGGUGGGGUAAGAGCCCACCGGCCGCGCGCGAGAGCCGCGGCGCUCGACAAACCCCGUCCGGAGCAAGGUCAAACUGGGGGAGGGUGGCCCGCCCGUCGAACCCGGGUCCGACCGCAUCGAGCCCACGAGCAAUCGUGCGCCCAGAGGAAUGACCGUCGCUCGGUCCGUUACGACCGAGGACAGAAUCCGGCUUACAGACCCCCUCCGUUU